GGCCGCAGUAUUCUAACUGUGCAAAGGUAGCAUAAUCAUUAGUCUUUUAAUUGAAGGCUGGUAUGAACGGUUGGACGAAGUAUAAGCUGUUUCAUAUAAAUUUAUAGUAGAAUUUUAUUUUUUAGUCAAAAAGCUAAAAUUUUAUUAAAAGACGAGAAGACCCUAUAAAUCUUUAUAUUUGUUUUUAAUUAAGUUUUUUGGGUAUAUUUUAUUUUUUUAAAAGAAAGUAUUUUGUUGGGGGGAUGUUAAAAUUUAAUGAACUUUUAAUAUAAAAAGAUACAUUAAUUUAUGAUUUAUUGAUCCUUUAAUAAUGAUUAUAAGAUUAAGUUCUUUAGGGAUAACAGCG
rnacentral:rRNA from 1 species